GACGAACGCUGGCGGCGUGCCUAAUACAUGCAAGUUGAGCGCUGAAGGUUGGUACUUGUACCAACUGGAUGAGCAGCGAACGGGUGAGUAACGCGUGGGGAAUCUGCCUUUGAGCGGGGGACAACAUUUGGAAACGAAUGCUAAUACCGCAUAAAAACUUUAAACACAAGUUUUAAGUUUGAAAGAUGCAAUUGCAUCACUCAAAGAUGAUCCCGCGUUGUAUUAGCUAGUUGUGAGGUAAAGGCUCACCAAGGCGAUGAUACAUAGCCGACCUGAGAGGGUGAUCGGCCACAUUGGGACUGAGACACGGCCCAAACUCCUACGGGAGGCAGCAGUAGGGAAUCUUCGGCAAUGGACGAAAGUCUGACCGAGCAACGCCGCGUGAGUGAAGAAGGUUUUCGGAUCGUAAAACUCUGUUGGUAGAGAAGAACGUUGGUGAGAGUGGAAAGCUCAUCAAGUGACGGUAACUACCCAGAAAGGGACGGCUAACUACGUG
rnacentral:rRNA from 1 species